AACUAACGCUGGCGGCGUGCCUAACACAUGCAAGUCGAACGAGAAAGUUGGCUUCGGCCGAUGAGUAAAGUGGCGCACGGGUGAGUAACGCGUGGAUAAUCUGCCCUUUAGUUUGGAAUAACGUACCGAAAGGUGCGCUAAUACCGGAUAAUACUGAAUGACUACUGUCGUUUAGUCAAAGAAGGCUUCUGUUUACAUGCUUUUGCUGAAGGAUGAGUCCGCGUACAAUUAGCUAGUUGGUAGGGUAAUGGCCUACCAAGGCGACGAUGGUUAGCUGGUCUGAGAGGAUGAUCAGCCACACUGGAACUGAGGCACGGUCCAGACUCCUACGGGAGGCAGCAGUGAGGAAUAUUGCGCAAUGGGGGAAACCCUGACGCAGCAACGCCGCGUGGAGGAUGAAGGUCUUCGGAUUGUAAACUCCUGUUAAGCGGGAAGAAAACCCAAUCUCUAACAUAGAUUGGGAAUGACGGUACCGCUAGAGAAAGCACUGGCUAACCUCGUGCCAGCAGCCGCCGUAAAAC
rnacentral:rRNA from 1 species